rnacentral:rRNA from 1 species
UACGAAGGGGGCGAGCGUUGUUCGGAUUUACUGGGCGUAAAGGGCGCGCAGGCGGCUCAUUUUGUCAGGCGUGAAAGCCCCGGGCUUAACCUGGGAACUGCGUUUGAUACGGAUGGGCUAGAGUUCGGGAGAGGAGAGUGGAAUUCCCAGUGUAGAGGUGAAAUUCGUAGAGAUGUGGAGGAACACCAGUGGCGAAGGCGACUCUUUGGUCUGUAACUGACGCUGAGGCGCGAAAGCUAGGGGAGCAAACGGG